AGCUUUGCAUGAUGGUGGUAUCAGAGCCAAUGAUGUUUCUCUGAGGUGUGAUUAUUGCUAAUUAAAAAUAUGACUCAAGAGGAAUUAGAAAGCUAUCUAGUAGUCCCAUCUUUCUCUCCUGCAUACAGCUCUCUAGUUCUAUGGGUGGAAUCACUUCUUAG
rnacentral:snRNA from 1 species